rnacentral:rRNA from 1 species
CCCUUAGAUGUUCUGGGCGGCCCGCGCACUACACUGGCACUCUCAAUCAGAGCCUGGAUCUAACACUUUGGGGUAUUUUAUGAAGUGGUGUCGUGACUGGGAUUAACCCUUGCAAUUAUUGGUUACGAACGAGGAAUUCCUUGUAAUCGCGGUUUAUCAGCCCGCGUUGAAUGCGUCCCUGCCCUUUGUACACACCGCCCGUCGCUCCUACCGAUGGAUCGUCCGGUGAAGCUCAUGGAGGGGCGGUUGUCUCAGCUGCCGUCGAAGUGAAAUGGACCUCACGAUCUAGAGGAAGGAGAAGUCGUAACA